AGGAGCAUUCUAAGAAUCAGAAGACUGGUUAAAAGCCAUAUACCAGUAAAGAAAAGAGGUUAUAAAAAUCAGCUUCAACAGAGGAAAUCUUCAACUGAUAAAGAGCCUACUUUCGCUGUUGGAGGAACGCAGGAAACAGCCAAACAUUGAGGCUACAAUCCAUAUGAAAACAUUGAGGCGCAGAGAAGUUAAGAGUCUUAAGGUUGACCAGAUAAUAGGUGACGGCUGCUGGAUUUGAACCUCAGCAUUCUAAUUUCAAG